AUUGAACGCUGGCGGCAGGCCUAACACAUGCAAGUCGAACGGUAACAGGAAGCAGCUUGCUGCUUUGCUGACGAGUGGCGGACGGGUGAGUAAUGUCUGGGAAACUGCCUGAUGGAGGGGGAUAACUACUGGAAACGGUAGCUAAUACCGCAUAACGUCGCAAGACCAAAGAGGGGGACCUUCGGGCCUCUUGCCAUCGGAUGUGCCCAGAUGGGAUUAGCUAGUAGGUGGGGUAAAGGCUCACCUAGGCGACGAUCCCUAGCUGGUCUGAGAGGAUGACCAGCCACACUGGAACUGAGACACGGUCCAGACUCCUACGGGAGGCAGCAGUGGGGAAUAUUGCACAAUGGGCGCAAGCCUGAUGCAGCCAUGCCGCGUGUAUGAAGAAGGCCUUAGGGUUGUAAAGCUCUUUCAGCUGGGAAGAUAAUGACGGUACCAGCAGAAGAAGCCCCGGCUAACUCCGUGCCAGCCGCCGC
rnacentral:rRNA from 1 species